rnacentral:rRNA from 1 species
UACGAAGGGUGCAAGCGUUACUCGGAAUUACUGGGCGUAAAGCGUGCGUAGGUGGUUUGUUAAGUCUGAUGUGAAAGCCCUGGGCUCAACCUGGGAAUUGCAUUGGAUACUGGCAGGCUAGAGUGCGGUAGAGGAUGGCGGAAUUCCCGGUGUAGCAGUGAAAUGUGUAGAGAUCGGGAGGAACACCGGUGGCGAAGGCGGGUCUCUGGGCAAUUCCUGACGCUGAGGCGCGAAAGCGUGGGGAGCAAACGGG